AAAGUAACAAUAUGUGGAAAAAGUCAAGGGGUCUGAAUACUUUCCAAAUGCACUGUAUGCAGCGUUUACUGUGAAUUUGGUUUCCGACAAUGCAGGAACAUUGCCUUUGAACAUUGUGCAUAGCCCCAAGGCUUCACAACAAGCACACCAUUUACCAGAGGUGUGGACUCGAGUCACAUGACUUAGACUCGAGUCACAAAUAAUGAUUUUAGACUCGAUUUGACAAAAUCAAAAGACUUGCAACUCGACUGACACCAAUGACUCGUGACUUAACUUGGACUUGAGCCUUUUGACUCGAACUGACUUGAUACCCUCCCCAAGCCUAAAUAUUAAAAACGACGCCAUUAAAAAAAGUGUGCAGCGCAUCAACUCUUCAUUUAACGGAUUACAGUUUGAAUCGGACAGCAGCCAAUCAAAUUGUGCCAGCGGAGAAAACGUUGCGUGUGGCAGUGCACAGGAACGUCGAUGGGUGAAUUCAGACGGAGCCCUUGGAAAGAUGAUACCCAAAAUUAUUAUUUUCGGAUAUAAAGACUACGCUGUAGUCAACAAAAAACGGAUUGCAAUUUACUGAGGUUACAGACGGAGGCGCAACAACUUCCAACUUUGUCCAAGAUUUGAAGCUGCGCAAAGAACUUUAAGUCGUGGCUAAUAUAGCCGACAGCUAUAUAUAACUUUGCUAGUGUAGCAUGUAGUCUAACGUAACGUUAAAUCAAUGAGCAUGCACAGUCAGUCAGUGCGGGAACAUGAUCAUUGCACCCAAGAUUGAGCUACAACUGGCUAGGCAGUUGGUAGCCUAAAUCCUGCCUGAUGUUAUUGCUGUUCCUAAAACCAUUGACAUACGUUAGCCUACUGUAACCACACACUGAGAGGGUGUGUUAAGGUUGGGCGAUUGUGUACAAGCCUACAGCGCUUUGCCCACACUCUCUAGCUGUUGUUGGGAGAUGGCUUGAAAGAAACAAGUGAUGACUCCUUCUCUUUCAAAGUUAUCAAAAAUGAGCUCACUGCUGCACAUCAUUCAAAGAGGUGUUUGAGGCACCCCUGCUGCUGUCAACAAAAGAUGGAACUCAACACAGACAAGUGAAGGCAGUUAUCCAAUGUGACCAUCUAAAGCUCUGUCAUGCUCUGGAAAAGGCUGGGCACAAGGAGUUGUUGUUCACAGUACGAGAGUGGAAUAAGUUGAAGGAGUUGGUGGACAUCCUGAAGCCAUUUGGAGAAGCAACAGAUUUGACACAGGGGGAGAAGAUGGUCACAAUCAGUUCCAUUGUUCCCCUUGUCCUGUACCUGAAUCACCGCCUGGAGCAGCGGAAGCCUCAAGUACAUUUCCUGAGCGGCCUGGUCAGAAGUCUCCAGAACAAAAAACAUUUCAAAACAAAACAUUUCUUGGAAUCUUCAUCAAUGUGAAAAUAGCCAGGACACAAGAUGGAAUCACUGCUCCUUUUCAGAUCCAGUCUACCUCAAAGCAGCUGCCUUGGAUCUGGCUUUUCCUCUGUGAGUGGAGCACCAUGUGCUGGUCAAGGAGGAGGUGGCACAAAGAGUGAAAGAACUGAUUCUGCAAGAUGCUGCAGGGACUGAGCAAGCUGUGCCUCUUUUUGAUGAGGAAGAGCGAGAGGACCAUAGUCUUGGACAAGAAGGGCUGUUUGCAGCAUACUGUGAGAGGCAGAAGAAAGCUGUUGGGACCACCCCAGCACUACAGCUAAGUCACUACCUUGACAUAUGCGAAGGACAGAAUGCCCUCGUUCUGGGCAAUGAAGGCUCUUCCUUCACUGUCCGAGUGGCCAUCAGGGUCUUGGCAGAGCCUGCCUCCAGUGCUCCGGUGGAGCGUGUCUGCAGCCAUGGUGUCAUCGUGCACAAAUGACUGACAGACUUUUAUUGAAUUUGUUUUUUUUGCAAAUGCAAUGCAUCAUAGGGCCCGAAGAUAAGAGGAAAAAAUGAAACUUUAUGCAUUACACACACACACGUAGUCUCCAUGUUCAGGUUUUAUCUCCCAUCUUUGGGAUCUGUAUUUCUCUCAGACAUUCAGGCCAGUGUUCAAAUUGUAGGCCUACUUGAAGUUCAGUAGCAGUUGUUUUGAUGUACCUUUUAAUAAAUGAUUGUAACUUUAUGGCA